GACGAACGCUGGCGGCGUGCUUAACACAUGCAAGUCGAACGGAAAGGCCCUGCUUUUGUGGGGUGCUCGAGUGGCGAACGGGUGAGUAACACGUGGGUAACCUGCCCUUGACUUUGGGAUAACUUCAGGAAACUGGGGCUAAUACCGGAUAGGAGCUCCUGCUGCAUGGUGGGGGUUGGAAAGUUUCGGCGGUUGGGGAUGGACUCGCGGCUUAUCAGCUUGUUGGGGGGGUAGUGGCUUACCAAGGCUUUGACGGGUAGCCGGCCUGAGAGGGUGACCGGCCACAUUGGUACUGAGAUACGGCCCAGACUCCUACGGGAGGCAGCAGUGGGGAAUAUUGCACAAUGGGCGGAAGCCUGAUGCAGCAACGCCGCGUGCGGGAUGACGGCCUUCGGGUUGUAAACCGCUUUCGCCUGUGACGAAGCGUGAGUGACGGUAAUGGGUAAAGAAGCACCGGCUAACUACGUG
rnacentral:rRNA from 1 species